rnacentral:rRNA from 1 species
CGUCCGUCACACCAUGGGAGUGGGUUGCAAAAGAAGUAGGUAGCUUAACCUUCGGGAGGGCGCUUACCACUUUGUGAUUCAUGACUGGGGUGAAGUCGUAACAAGGUAACCGUAGGGGAACCUGCGGUUGGAUCACCUCCUUA